AUUGAAGUUUAUUUAUAUUUUUAUUGACAAUAAAGAAUAAAAUAAAACGAUAAUUAUGAAAAAUAAGGAAAAUUAAUAAAAACCUUUUUUUAAAAAAAAGAAUGUUGACUUUUAUUGAACUAUUUUUGCUAAUCAGUUUGAUAAAUCAACAUCAUUAAUUUAGUUAUACCACAUUCACCAUCACGUACUUAACAUUCUGUGAAAGUCAUCCACUUAAACUCAACCCAAACCAUAAUAAGGCCUACAUAUUAUUUGAUCUUAAUCUUAUAAUUCAUAUUAUUUGAUCUUAAUAUUAUGAUGCAUAUUAUUUGAUCUAAAGGAAUUUUAUUUUACUAUCUCAAAAGAGCUCACUGGACAUACUUUGAUUUCCUUGUUGGCUUCUCAUCGCCCAGGUUUAUGAUAGAUAAAGUUUUAAUAAGUUUCAUUUGUUACAGGACCUCGGUCCGCCGGUCAUCCUUGGGAAGCUUGCAGCAGUGCUACACUCUGGCAGAAGCUGCGAAGCCGCUGAUCCCAAACUAUCUGCACUUGCCAUUCCUUUGGAUACAUCAGCUGCUUGGAGAGGUACGGGGUCGAACUGCUGUGUAGACGAUUCGUUCCGACCAUCGCCAACUCCGAAGCUUUCAUCCCAUUUCUAUGAGAUGAUCCGUAGUCGCUUCGAGACCGAAGGAAGCCAUAGAUAGAUUUAAUGGGUCCGAUGGAUAUUUCCAGGGGGUUGAUAAAUGAAAGCCUUUCAUGGAUGGAAUCUCUUCGUGUCGGAUAUAUUAGUGAACUAUAAAGUAGGCAAUAUAAACAAUACAACGACUAGAUGGCGUGUUUCUAUUAUAUGUGCAGUAGCAACAAUACUUUGUGAAGAAAAAAAUGAGUACAAAAUGAUCGAUAAAAUCAUUCAUUGUAAUUCUCAGUAGGGCCUAGGAUUUAAAGACUUCAAAAACUGAGGUCAAGGACAAUCUCAAUGAGAAAUAGACAGAAAAAUAAUGGGACCGAGGCUUUUAUUUUCAACUUUAAACUAAUGCUAUUUUCAUAGUUUACCCCCCUCCCUUAUCAUUGUAAUUCUCAGUAGGGCCUAGGAUUUAAAGACUUCAAAAACUGAGGUCAAGGACAAUCUCAAUGAGAAAUAGACAGAAAAAUAAUGGGACCGAGGCUUUUAUUUUCAACUUUAAACUAAUGCUAUUUUCAUAGUUUACCCCCCUCCUUUAUCAUUGUA